rnacentral:rRNA from 1 species
CCUACGGGAGGCAGCAGUGGGGAAUAUUGGACAAUGGGCGAAAGCCUGAUCCAGCAAUGCCGCGUGAGUGAUGAAGGCCUUAGGGUCGUAAAGCUCUUUUACCAGGGAUGAUAAUGGCAGUACCUGGAGAAUAAGCUCCGGCUAACUCCGUGCCAGCAGCCGCGGUAAUACGGAGGGAGCUAGCGUUGUUCGGAAUUACUGGGCGUAAAGCGUGCGUAGGCGGUUAUUCAAGUCAGAGGUGAAAGCCCGGGGCUCAACCCCGGAACGGCCUUUGAAACUAGAUAACUAGAAUCUUGGAGAGGUCAGUGGAAUUCCGAGUGUAGAGGUGAAAUUCGUAGAUAUUCGGAAGAACACCAGUGGCGAAGGCGACUGACUGGACAAGUAUUGACGCUGAGGUACGAAAGCGUGGGGAGCAAACAGGAUUAGAUACCCUGGUAGUCCACGCCGUAAACGAUGAUAACUAGCUGUCCGGACACUUGGUGUUUGGGUGGCGCAGCUACGCAUAAGUUAUCGUCCGUGGUAGGUACGGUCGCGAGAGUAAACUACAAUAGAGUAGACGGUCGUGAGAGUUGCCGACGGACGACGACGAGGGAGGAGG